rnacentral:rRNA from 1 species
GCAGUCGAGCGAACUGAUUAGAAGCUUGCUUCUAUGACGUUAGCGGCGGACGGGUGAGUAACACGUGGGCAACCUGCCUGUAAGACUGGGAUAACUUCGGGAAACCGAAGCUAAUACCGGAUAGGAUCUUCUCCUUCAUGGGAGAUGAUUGAAAGAUGGUUUCGGCUAUCACUUACAGAUGGGCCCGCGGUGCAUUAGCUAGUUGGUGAGGUAACGGCUCACCAAGGCAACGAUGCAUAGCCGACCUGAGAGGGUGAUCGGCCACACUGGGACUGAGACACGGCCCAGACUCCUACGGGAGGCAGCAGUAGGGAAUCUUCCGCAAUGGACGAAAGUCUGACGGAGCAACGCCGCGUGAGUGAUGAAGGCUUUCGGGUCGUAAAACUCUGUUGUUAGGGAAGAACAAGUACGAGAGUAACUGCUCGUACCUUGACGGUACCUAACCAGAAAGCCACGGCUAACUACGUGCCAGCAGCCGCGGUAAUACGUAGGUGGCAAGCGUUAUCCGGAAUUAUUGGGCGUAAAGCGCGCGCAGGCGGUUUCUUAAGUCUGAUGUGAAAGCCCACGGCUCAACCGUGGAGGGUCAUUGGAAACUGGGGAACUUGAGUGCAGAAGAGAAAAGCGGAAUUCCACGUGUAGCGGUGAAAUGCGUAGAGAUGUGGAGGAACACCAGUGGCGAAGGCGGCUUUUUGGUCUGUAACUGACGCUGAGGCGCGAAAGCGUGGGG